GAUGAACGCUAGCGGCAGGCCUAACACAUGCAAGUCGAGGGGUAACAGAGAGUGCUUGCACUCUGCUGACGACCGGCGCACGGGUGCGUAACGCGUAUAGAACCUACCUUCUACUGAGGGAUAGCCCAGAGAAAUUUGGAUUAAGACCUCAUGGUAUUGUUAUCUGGCAUCGGAUGAUGAUUAAAGGUUACGGUAGAAGAUGGCUAUGCGUCCUAUUAGUUAGUUGGUAAGGUAACGGCUUACCAAGACAUCGAUAGGUAGGGGCCCUGAGAGGGGGAUCCCCCACACUGGUACUGAGACACGGACCAGACUCCUACGGGAGCAGCAGUGAGGAAUAUUGGACAAUGGGCGGAAGCCUGAUCCAGCCAUGCCGCGUGCAGGAAGACAGCCCUAUGGGUUGUAAACUGCUUUUAUACAGGAAGAAUAAGGAGUAUGUAUACUCCGAU
rnacentral:rRNA from 1 species